AUCCAGCUGACGAAUCCCAAAUCGGAUGAAACGCACUUCCUGGAU
rnacentral:hammerhead_ribozyme from 1 species